GGCCUUCUGCUCCUGUGGUAGCUGGGAUGGAUGUAGGGCAAUACUGGGGCACAUGUUGGUACCAUUGGCAUCCCCAAAAUACAGAGCCUUUCUCAGCUCAGGCAUCUGCUCAGGAUCUGUGGGGCAGGCCACGCACAUAUUCCUCCCUUAGAAACUCCCUGGCUCAGAAGCAAGAAGCAUCACAUCCCCACGAAACCCGGUACUUCAGCUAAUCUAAAGCCCUGUAGGGAGUCGGGGCUAAUUAACUGAGUGCUGUGGCAUCCUGACAUAACUAUAUGGCUUCUGGGACCCACGCUAGUAUUUCUACCAAGCGCUCUCCUGCGCUGGGUGAUAUAUCUGCCUGGUCAACGCCUGGUCAGGGGCCCCAGCAGAGGACUGAAGGCAGGGAUUAUGGACUUGGCAGCCGUCACUUUCUGUCAUGCCCACAGCCACGUUUCACCCGGUGAUAUUUGGAGUAGUCGGUGCUACUUGGAAUGCAUUUUCCUGAAUAUAAGCUGGAAAUUACUGAUUUUUACCUUACACAGCUAGUAUAAAAGCACUAAUGUCCUAAUGAAGAGUCUCACUUAGCUAAAUGCUUCAUACAGCUGAGUAAAACAAAGAAUUUUACUAGAGCUUAACCCAGUCGUUAAUAAGCUUUUUAACCCUGACCUUUCAAAUCAAUGAUCUACCACUGGUUUUACCUUUCAAGAAGGAAUUCCAUUUUCAAGUGAUAAAACAUAUUUUGCACUCCUUACAAUCUAAUGAUUAUUCUCAGCGUUACUGGAUAUAUGAGGCCAUCAAACCAUUAGAAGGUAUAAAAUGUAUUAAUGUACAGCAUUCAUGGCUACAUUUGCUUUAGAGUCAAUAAAAGGGAAACAAUUUAUAAAGGGCAUUUGUGCUCAUUACGGAAUAUCGAUAGAUUGUUUCUCCCAUCAUUUCUGAAGUAUGAAGAACUCCAUUUCGUGACGGAUAGCAGAGGAUUUGCAUAAGCUCUUUGCUUACUCCAUGAACUUCUCCAGCACAGAGCAGCAUGCAGGGGCUUGUGGCCAGACUGGGACGGGCUGGGAUGUGCCUGGGGUGGGACUGUGGUAAUCCCCACAAAUUCUUCCUUCCCAGGGGACCGAGCAUCUCAAUUUGGGAGUCGUUCACGGCAGCCACAUGAAGGCUCAGCAGAUAUCCACAGUGAUUUCUGCACUAAACAUUAAUUAGCACAAGGCCGUGGGCAGCUUGGAUUGAGGUUAGAAAAGAACAAGAGGAGUUAUUUGUGGGGAAGGUCAGGGAUGAUGAGCACAAGUGCUGGAAGAGCUUUGCAGAGCACCUUCCUAAGCAGCAGGAGGACAAGGGAGGCCACUCCACAUGUAGGGGAGAAAAUGAAAAGGAAUUACAGGUCGGAUAGAAAAGGAUAUAGGAGCACCAGUGCGAUGGCUAGAGGCAGAAGUUUCAUAGUCUGUCCUAGUGAAUAACUCAAUUAACUGCAGGAAUAAAAUCUAUGAAGAGACAAAUGAUUAAGGCACUGGCCUGAGUCUCAGCAGACUCCGGCUGUUUUCAGGUUUCUGUCUGACUUUUGGCAAGCCUCUUCAACUCUCUGUGCCUUCGUUUCCCAUCUGUUAAGGAGGAAUAAUAAUAUUUCCUUUCUCUCCUGCCUAUUCCAGCAGUAAGCGCUCCUGGCAGGCACUGUAUCUCUCACAGCAUGUGUACAGGACUUUGCUCGCUGGGGUUUUGAUCUCUGCACUGAAGCAGGACAUACGGGGACGAGGAGUGCCAUGACAGAGCAGCCCACUUUCAAUUUCUGAUAUCCAGGGGACUAAGGUAUGCUGUAACUCCUUGAAGAGCUUUCUUAAUACCAGUUCUUCAAAGACAACAGAAGAAAAAAAAAAAAAAUCAAUCAGUAAAUUAGAGAAGGAAAGUGAUUCCCAUCUCUGUUAAGAUUGGUAGGAGUCUGAAAUUAUCUUCCAAAGCAGAAAUAGUUUGCGAGAACACAGAAGACAUUAACUACAGUACAAAAACAGACACAAGGACUUCUCAAUUUCUGAUCUUGCUGCUGUACUCGUCUGGCUUCUCUGUACAGACUGAGCUUCACCACAUUUCUCACUGACAAGCCACCUUCUUGAUGCACGGAGUGGUUUCCCUUGCAUGCAUAUGCUCCUGCCCACCUGGUAAGAUGAAAUCGUGCUCACUCACAGGCACACACACAUCGCAAGCAAGGCUAGGGGAUAUCAGUUGCAGAGUAUUAUUUUAAAAGGACAACCGGCAAAUAUAUAAAAUUGAAUUUCAGCUGCAGUCCCAAUUAGAAAUACAAAUGUCACUGAAAGGGAGCAUGUCUGUUGACAGUAGACUUCGGAGAAAGCUUUGGUUUUAGUGCUAGUAAAUUAAUCUUUAAUUAUGAGCACUUCUCACUUCUGAAAGAAGUGCCCUGCACAUACUGAAUGGACAGUGUGUGAAAGUUUCAGGGUGUUGCUUUCUUCUGAUAAAAGAAACAUCUUGUCCCACAAAGGCCCAGCUCGGCUCAAGCCUGGGCCUGCUGCUGCCAGUGGCCCUGCAGAUGGUGAGAAGUCAUCUGUUAAAAACUCUGUUACUAAAACAGCAUCACUCCCAUGCUCUUAAACACAAAUACCAAGACAAAGACCUGUCAAGGUGUGGGUUUUCCAAGGGAUGGCAGAAAACAGCCCUUCCCCUGCUGUCCUUUCCCUGCUGGGGUCAGUGGCCUCCCCCUGUGCUGAGCACACCUCGCAGCAGAGAGGAGCACAGGAUGCUGCAGCAACCCCUGCUCAGGCCAACACCUCCAUUCCCGUGCUGGCUGCAUUAUUAAAAUAACAUUUCCACUUCCAAGUAAGUAAAUUAAUCUCACUGGCAAGUUUGUCUUGUGACAGCCAACAUCUUGUCUCCCCAAGAACUGGGCUGGUGUCCUGAAAGCUGGAAAUCCAGCUCUAAAACCUGAGUGCAACAGCCAAGAGAUACACCAGAUCCAUCUUCUGAGGUAGCAGAUACAAUGAGGUAAGUAAAUAUGUUCUAGAAAUCGUGCUAUUAAAGUUUAUAAAAAUUAUUUAAUUUCCUGAAGUUAUGAAGGCCUGCUGUCAUGUUCCCAGCGAGCUUUGCUUUCGGCCUGCGGUUCUCUUUUAGAGAACACAGUGCCCCCGAACUUUGCUGCCCUAAGGAGGCCGUGCUGCAGACCUGCCUCAGAAGGCCCGGCACACCUGCUUUGAGGCACAACAGGAAAAUCAGAACAUACCUUAUCAUAAAUAUGCAUAUGUGACACAGGAACCUGCUGCCUUCUUGGAGAGAUGCCACAAUUGACAGAACAAAAAGUACAACAAAACUUCACAUCACCGGUGGAUCAGAAGAACAGAGCUCAUCCGAGGUAUGAGUCAUUUCCAUCAAAAGAGGAGGAUGCCUUGAUCUGUGCGCGAGUGAGCGCUGGAACAGCAGCUGUUGGAGCAAAUACAAACAUUCAUGCCAAGGAUUGUAAGGAUGGAGUUUAUCUAAUAUGUAAACAACCACCUGCUGCAAAUGAAAAAUUACACCCACAACCACCUGAAUAAGAUAAGCAUAUGAUGCGGGAAAUGAAGAGACAGAUUUAUUAUUAAUUUGCUGGAACUUUUGAACCAAACAUCUCUUUUGCAAUGGAACAGUAGGAUGCACAAAGAAAUAGUACUCCUUGCCCCAGAUCUGCUCAGCAGCAUUUAUUUUGCCUGUGAUUUUCCUUUUUUUUUUUUUUUUUUUUUGCUAAGUCUGGUGGAGAUGAAAACACCAACCCAAAGAAGAUAAUUAAAAGCUAAAUGAAACCACAUACAGCUGUGCUACUACAUGGCUAAUGAACAUGCAAAUAUAUACAUAUGACAAGGACAUAAUGCAGACUGGCUGCCUUGAGUGCUUAGUGCAGAUUUCCAAGAGCUGGAAAUGCUAUUGAUUAUAACUGAGCUAAACUUCCUGACUCCAGACUUCAAAGAUCAGCCUCAAUAUAAUCAUCACACAGCAUAUGGAAACAUGGCUGCUAGGAGCUGAUGAAUAAUGGCUCGGGGACCUGAACAUUUGCACGUAGGAUGGGAGAUGUCCUCUUGGCCGCUGAGGAGGCCUGGAGGCUUCUCGGCAGCCAGGACCAGUGCCAUAUAAUCCUCCUCAGUCUUGGCAUGCUCCAUCUUGCUGUCAGUUGAGAUUUUGGAGUAGUGGGAUUUUGAUGGGAUAUUUAUUUUUGACUUCCCACUUUACUUGGCAAGAAGCUGUUGUGUGGAGGACACAUUUCUGUGAGGACCAGGGCUGGAGGUAACACGCAUAAGGCAAAGCUUCUGGGCUCCUACAACACAGUAGACAAGAGCAAGAUGGACAGGUUCUCCUCUGAGGGCCUUCUUGUACAUUGGCAUGAAAGGAGAUCAAAUCAGACUUAUUAGUUAAAAAAUACCAACCCAUUUUACCAUGAGACUUCAAAUACAGGAAAAAAUAUGAAAAGAAAAACUUUGGAAACAUUGGAGUGUGGCCUUGAAUUGAGUGAGAAUAAGCAGCCAUUGAUCCCUCUGAACCUGCAUCCAGCCAGACUAUAAAAUGCAAUACAAAACUCGUUCCUCCUCCACAAUGACACCCAAAACAGCACAUAGUCCUGGGGACUUUUGCAGGCCAUGUCUAGAAUUGCAGCGCACCCUUGGACCUUGGUGCAGAAGAUGGCUGAGCCACCAGGACAGAAGAGAGGCCACCUACAGAAACCAAAUUUGUGCUGAACACAAUGCCAAAACUGUGAUGGAUGGGUGCGUUUGCUAUGGAGUACACAGGGCUACUCACAACACUCACAGCAAAGAUGGAAGCUACUUCUCCCAUGAAGGGUAACCACAUGUGAAGAGAGAGAUUCCAAUUCAAGAUUUCUUACUGUGCCUUUGCCAGAGACAUUCCUAAGGAGAUGGAAACUCUCUGAAUGUGGAAUUUUCGCAUGAGUGCAAAAUAAUAAAAAGCAUGUGUGUAUUAAAAAGGGAUCAACUUAAUGGGAAAUGAGCAUUGGGUUACAUUAAUAUUCUAUUACAGUAAAAAUCAUAUUUAAUAAAUUUUCUCCAGAUUUUUCAGAA